ACGGCGGGCUUGGCCUCCGAUCGCUUGGAUCAAACACCUCUCCUCCCUCACUCCCUCGGCUUCUUCUCUCCCAACAACCAGAGGACGCAGGGUGGCAGAUAUGGCCUGGUCAGAUCUAGCGGCAGUGGAUCCACCGGUGGUAGGAGUGGCGACAGUGACUGCGGCGAGCUCAGGCAGUGGCAGGCUCGUCUUGCGACCGCGCGGAUCCCGCCACCUCUCCUCCCUCACUCCCUUGGCUUCUUCUCUCCCAAUGGCCACUGGGCGCAGGGUGGCGGAUCCAGCCUGGUCGGAUCCACCAGCGAGGAGGCAGUGGAGCUUGAGAAUGAGGAGGCACGUGGAGAACAUGACAGUGAAGCCAGAUCUCAGGGGACGAUACGGCAGCGGACCUCGUGGAGUGGGAGCUUAGCUGGUGGGUGA
rnacentral:lncRNA from 1 species